GGGGAAUGCGGAGAGGAGGGAUGUGAUUAACCUGGCUGCGGCAUUCCCGUACAGCGGGACGGGCAGCCGGGGAGGGGAGGCACCGCAGCCCCGCCGCUCGGAGGAGCCGAGCGCGGUCGUCUCGUCGCCUGCCCGGUGCCACGGCCCAAAGGGUGACAGCAAGGACGGUGCGCAGGGCUCCGGCCUGUGUCUCUCCAGAGAAAGGACUUUCCAGAGAAACAAAUCAAGAAAAAAUAACUGGCUUAAUUUCCCUCCACCCAGCAACAGUUCUUCAUAGCUGUACACAGGGACCAUGGAGCAGCAAGAAAGGUUGUGUGGGACAGAGGCUCCUCGGGUGCUCCCACUGGCAUCUUUUCACCACAUCCUUCCCUCUUCUGCUAUGUCCUGAUUUUGGCUGGGAUAAUUUUCUUCCUAGUAGCUGGGCUGGGAAGCACAAGAAGCUGGGAGAAGACACAGCAGGGACAGCUGAUCCCAACUGGCCAAAGGGAUAUUCUGUAUCAUAUGACACAUGGUGUACUUCAACACUGGGCUACAUGCAGAAGAUGCAGCUUGCACCAAGCACUUCCCCAUAGCUGAAGUUUGCAAUGUCAUGAAGCUUGCAGAAGGUAGCAAAAUAGCCUGUAAUCUCUUUAUAAAUUCCAGAAAAGAACUCACAGCUGCAUCUCAUGACUUACAUGAAGGAGGCUGAGGUGUCAGGAGCAUACACAGGUUCUUUCCCAGCAUCUGCUGAGACAAAGGUCUCAGGCAGAGAUCUCACUGCAGAGAAUUCAUCAUCCCAAGUGACCUCAGUGGAAACAUCUUAACUUUAAACUUUGGUCUUCAGAGUGCAGGAUUUCCCAGUGGAGCGAUGCAUAUGCACUGACAUCUGCUAAGACAAAAUAACCAAGCUCAGAAGAAAGUUGCUCAUGAUCACAAGGAGUUACUGGAGCCAGCUGAACCUGAGAUUGCAGUCAAUUGGGCUGUGCCUGAGAAAUCCUUGAUCAAAACACACUUCCAGACUGUGAUCUGUAAUGGUUGUCAGCUGCAGUCUGCCUUAGUCUACAACCUAACUGCACCUUGGAGACAACCAGCUCCUGCUUGUAUCUGUGCUGUGGGACUGUCUGCUCAGAACAUGCACUCUUUGGUAGCUUCAGGUUUGUUUGUUUUCUUUUUCUACAUUUGAAAUAUAUUGCAAACUCUUCUUUUUUCAAAGGUGCUUUCUUUCAUUAUAAGUAAUAAUCACAACUACAUUUCCUUAAGGUUAGUCUGUGUUAAAGGUAUAGGAAUCCUUUGCCUUCCUGCUGAUGCUUUCCCUCCCUCCCUCCCUGCUGUUUAUGACCUGACAGAAUAGUUUCUCUCACUGAUUUGUGGACAUUCAAAGGGGUUGCCUAGUCUCUAAUUUUAUUAACAAAUUUUUGUAGCCGUUUUCUUGAAAAAAAAUAAGAGAGUAUUGAUUAAUUUUUUUUUUUUCUUUGCGUGCAAAUGGGAGGAGAGGCCUGCUCUGGCAGGAUGCUGAACAUGCUCUGCCACACAGUGCUUUCUGUCACUUACUGGGCUUUCCAGGCUAGCUGCUGGAAAUGUCACAGGAUUAAUUUCAGAAUCCCCUAAGGCGCCUGUUGGCUUUGUCCAAAAUCAUUACUCAUUCUCUGCUUUGUACUCAUUUUCUGUUACUAAAACACAGUGAGACCUUAGCUGUGUUUGCUGCAUUACUGUUAAUUUCUAUUCUGCUCCACCUGUACUCCUACCCCUUUUCCCCCAGUAUGUUACGUGAGCACCUUGCAGUGGCAGCUGGCAGUGUUCUUCUCUUAGGCAUGCUUAUUUGAUGAGCUAAGUGAUGCAAGGAAGCCAGCCCCACCUCCUCCAGGGACACUCCACUGCUGGAAAUUAGUUGCUUCUGCCUCUUGCUUCCAGUCUGUGAUAGUGCAGUGGAAAAAUCAAUAGCAGACAAAUAAUUAGACACGAUGUCAUCCUUGCAGAUAGGGAGGACUUGCAGGCAGACAGCAGAUCAUAUAUGUGCCUUAAGAAUGCUUGUGGAGAUGGAGUUAUGAUCCAAGAAUGUGCAAAUGGCUUCCCAUCCCAGUGUUGCGUGCUGUGAUGGGGAAGUAGUGCUAAACCAUCUCUAGACUUGAUUAGUGUACAAACACAAAAGGCUUGUUUUGUUAUGGGGAGGUGGUUGGGGUGAUUUUUCUAGGUGAGCAAAGAAGAAACUACGUGAAUGGAAUCUUUCUUUACCUUCUCUCUGCUGGGGGCUAAAAUAAAACUGGAGGGAGCGAUAUGGUGAGAGCUGGUGGGCUGCUCUGAGGAAGGGCACACGUGGAUUCUAUCCAGGAGCUGUAUGCAGAGCCUCAGGGAGAAGGACACCUCUGAGCCAGCCAGGAGGCCUGUCUGCUGCCCACUCCUUUCCCAGCAACCAGUGUUCUCAGGAAGUAAAAGGUCAGCAGAGGCUAUCAGCAGACUACUUCGGUGCAGAGACUUUUUUAUGACUGCAUUAACAACACUUUUCCUGUUGUUGUACAUAAGUUAUGGCUCCUAGUGUCAGUGUUGAGAUGAAAGCAGAAGCUCUUCUGUGUGGAACAAGCAUUAAAAGCUAGUGGAUGUGCUAAUUGUAAAAGAAAAUUAGUGCUGGCUGCCACCUAUUUACUUUCAGAUAAAUUUGCUUUUGUAUUUUAAUUAUUUUAACACUGUGCAUCCAUCUCUACUCUUUUGGACACAGUCAACCACAAGUUUGCCACUGUCCUCUCUCACUGCCUAACCUGGACUCUGCUUCUGUAACCCCUCCAUGAGCUCAGAUCUCAGACUUACAGGAAAAUUUAGAAUCAGAGCAGAAAAAUGGUGGAUAGGAUGGGUCUUUCAGGUGAGCAGUGUGUGAUAACAUGAUGUUCUCACAUGUUAAUGUUUGUAACUGGUUGUGAGAGGAGAGCCUCUGGUUUUAAGGAUGUACCCUUGGACAGCCUUUAACAGUGCCAUGACAAAAUAAAA
ensembl:lncRNA